rnacentral:rRNA from 1 species
UACGUAGGGUGCAAGCGUUGUCCGGAAUUAUUGGGCGUAAAGAGCUCGUAGGCGGUUUGUCGCGUCUGCUGUGAAAACUCAGGGCUUAACCCUGAGCCUGCAGUGGGUACGGGCAGACUAGAGUGUGGUAGGGGAGAUCGGAAUUCCUGGUGUAGCGGUGAAAUGCGUAGAGAUCGGGAAGAACAUCGGUGGCGAAGGCGCUCUACUGGACCACAACUGACACUCAGGGACGAAAGCUAGGGGAGCGAAUGGG